GACAGAGGUCCCGAGCGUUAGGCGGAAUCACUGGGCUUAAAGCGUGUGUAGGCGGAGUUCUAAGUACCUUGUGAAAUCCCACGGCUCAACCGUGGAACGGCUGGGUAUACUGCCUGUCUUGAGCCAACUAGGGGCGAGCGGAACAGACGGUGGAGCGGUGAAAUGCGUAGAUAUCGUCUGGAACGCCAAAGGUGAAAACAGCUCGCUGGGGUUGUGCUGACGCUGAGACACGAAAGCCAGGGGAGCGAACGGG
rnacentral:rRNA from 1 species